AGGUCAUUUCAAAGAGAGCUUAUGGGACCAAAACCCGGAGUUCCUAAUGCUGUGAGACUUAAAGGUGAAGUUCUCCAUCGGAUAAAAUAGACACUUAGCAGUGCUAUGUUUUCUCGAGGAGAUAUAAGA